rnacentral:lncRNA from 1 species
CUCCGUCCCGCUGCUGCAGCAGGAGACGGAGGCUCAGAAAGAUGUGAGCUCGGCCAGCGGGAGUGGGGACUGAGUGACGGGUUUGCCCCCCUCCCCAGCAGGCUCCCCACGGCUGGCCUGCUCCAGGUCCACCUCACACUGAGGUGUAGGAAACCCCUGACUCCCAGCAUGGACGAGGGCCAGGCUGCCGAUCUACCCACCUGGAAGCUGAAGUUGAGUCCAUGGGGUCGAUGGGAAUACUCUGGUACAGAUGGUAAAGAUGCCAGAGUUGCUUGGGCUCAGGGUCCACCUUCCCGCCUCCCUGAGAGGGGACGUGGGUGGCUGGGUCCUCAUUUCCUGUUGGAGAACCACCUCCAUAGCUUGUGUGUUCGGCAUUUUAUGCUUUGGACACAAAACAUUCCUCAAAAGCUCAUGUGUGGAGAGUUUGCAGCGAGGUUCCGAGGUGGGGCUCCUAGGAAAUGAUGGCAUCAUGAGACCUCUGACCAUCAGUGGAUGGAUCUAUUUGAUGGUUUUAUGGUAGCUUCGUUUGUUGGAUUUAGGUGAUUUAGUAAUUAGUAGUGGACUAUUGGGUGAUAACUGUAGGCCAGGUGGAUGUGGUCAGAGGAAAAGGCCACCAGGGCUGUGUCCCUGGGGCUACAUCUUGUCCCUGGAUUCUCUCUGUCUGACACCCUGGCUGCCUCCCAGGAGCUAAGUGACUUUCCUCUGCCAUGCCCUCCACCAUGAUUUUUAGGACUUGGAGCCACCAACUGUGAACUGAAUCCUCUGAAACCAUGAGCCAAAAGAAUCUUUCUUCUAAGAUGCUCUUGUCAGGUCUUUUAGUCACAGUGACAAAAACUAACACAUAGUGUGUCUCCCUCCUCUGGCCUUGGCUUGCAGAAUGAAGUCAACAUAUGUGGAUGGGAUGGUGUGUUUUUUUGCUCUUUCUAGAAAUCAGCCACUUGGCCGGCGGUGAUCCUUCUUGGGAAUCACUUUGAGAACCUAGUGAAAGUUGAGAACAUCCUAGAGAAGCACACACUGGUUUUUAGACAUAAUGACAGCAGUGUCAUGGCUCAGCUGAGCACCAUUUGGAGCCUCUUGGGGCUGAUGAUGCCAAUUUAGGAACUACUGCUCUAGAAGAUCUUUCCCAGCAGGAUGCGAGAGGAGCUACCUGCAGAACUCUCUUUUGUUCUGUGUUCUCCAGGAAAUCAAAGAGAAAUGGUGAUUGCCUUGGCUUCUCAGAUUUUCUAGAUCAGAAGUUGGCACUGAAUAUGCUUUUGUCUUUAGAGAGUCUUUAGAGAGACGGGUAUAUGGCGUUUGCAGGGGCAGAAUGGCUUGGGCUGUGUGCUUUGGGGCAGUAACUGGAUCAUGAGGGUGGCAUGACCUUCUGAGCAUGGGAAAGUGCCAGGAACACUCCGUGGAUGGAAAUUUCUCAGUGUCCCCUGUGACUCUGUUUCCUUCACUGACUUGUGAAUUCCUCCAUUCCCAUGUUAAUAAAAUUUGCCAAAUUUCUGCUUCCAGGUGAGAACUGAGCUGGGG